CCAACGGGUGGCAGCAGUGGGGAAUUUUGCGCAAUGGGCGAAAGCCUGACGCAGCAACGCCGCGUGGGUGAUGAAGGUCUUCGGAUCGUAAAACCCUGUCGUCAGGGACGAAGGUUUCGGGCCGAACAGGUUCGGGACUUGACGGUACCUGGAGAGGAAGCCCCGGCUAACUCUGUGCCAGCAGCCGCGGUAAUACAGAGGGGGCGAGCGUUAUUCGGAAUUAUUGGGCGUAAAGGGCGCGUAGGCGGUGUCUUAAGUGGGAUGUGCAAUCCCCGGGCUUAACCUGGGAACUGCAUCCCAGACUGGGACGCUAGAGUGCUGGAGAGGGUGGUAGAAUUCCACGUGUAGCGGUGAAAUGCGUAGAGAUGUGGAGGAAUACCAGUGGCGAAGGCGGCCACCUGGACAGCAACUGACGCUGAGGCGCGAAAGUGUGGGUAGCAAACA
rnacentral:rRNA from 1 species